AAUACUAUACAUGCCAAGUUCACAAAAGAAUUAAUCACGUUUGUAUAUUGUAUUCCACACAAUAAAAACCUUGUCCGGUAAUUUGCUUCCUUUAUAUUUUUAACUGACCACUGGCCUGGCUGAAUUACCUUUGUAACUAGCAAGGUUAAAAUUUUUUUAGGUUAUGUGUGUAGUGGCAUUUUGCUAUAAAAAAAAAAAAAAGAAAAA